GACGUAGGGCGCGAGCGUUGUCCGGAUUUAUUGGGCGUAAAGAGCUCGUAGGCGGUGUGUCGCGUCGGCCGUGAAAACCUGCAGCUUAACUGUGGGCUUGCGGUCGAUACGGGCAUCACUGGAGUUCGGCAGGGGAGACUGGAAUUCCUGGUGUAGCGGUGAAAUGCGCAGAUAUCAGGAGGAACACCGGUGGCGAAGGCGGGUCUCUGGGCCGA
rnacentral:rRNA from 1 species